CUUUAAAAGGCUGAUGCUUGCUGGCAAUAAACUCCGCCUUGAUCAGACUCCUGUCUUGGCGUCGUUCCUUUCUCUCUGCCCCAUCUCCACCCCGCUGCUCUUUCAGGUUUGAGGCACUGCUGGACAUUGCUCUGCGUCCCCGGUUCGCGACACAGAGGCCCCGUGGGGUGACUGCUGGGCUGCUGGACCGGCUGCUUCCAAGAGGGCAUGGAUGACUAAACGCACGGCGGUCUCCACGCCCCCUCACCGCCUUAUGGAACCAGGAUGAUGGCUCUUCGGUCCUGAAUGCUGACUCCGUAGCCAAAAUAAUCGCAGGCAGCCACUAGGUUUCCCUGACGAGGACGUGGGAUAUCCCCAACAAUCCUUGCAGCGCGGCCUGCCGGCUCCAUCCCGCGGGGAUCGCCGCCUCCUGGUGGCCAGGCGCGGGAUCGCGGCGGAGAGCCGGGUGCUGGCUGCGCUGUCCCAGGGGCUCCUUCCUGCGCAGGUGUGAGCUCGAAAAGUGCACACGCGUUUCCACACGCAGCCAGGGAAAGCUCUCAGGGUCGAAUGGCGCAGACAGAGGCACCAGGUCACUGUUCACCACGCCAGUGCUCAUCCGACCGCCAGAGGGCGCACGCCGCACACAGGAUAAUGGUGGCCCAGCAGAGGGAGGCAGUGGCCCCCGCGCUCCUGUACUCCGCACACUCAGAAGCCGAGGGCACUUGCUGUGGGCUGGCAUCUCGCUGCCUGCCUUACAGAGCCCUCCGCUGUUUAAGACCUCUUAUCCCCGGCGUUCAGUGGGUGUCACUCACUGUUUAGCAGAGGAAGGCACAUUUGAAAAGCAAGUGAAGCCGGUCUGGUGGCUGAGGCAGGUGAUCCCAAGCUCAGGAGUCCUGCCUAGCCUGGACAACACAGCGAGAGCUAAACUCAAAACAAGCGGAAGUUAAAAAUCAAUUAAAUAUUUUUUUUAAAAAAUGGAGUCCAAAGUUGA
rnacentral:lncRNA from 1 species